rnacentral:rRNA from 1 species
GAUGAACGCUGGCGGUCUGCUUAACACAUGCAAGUCGAACGAACUCUUCGGAGUGAGUGGCGGACGGGUGAGUAACGCGUGAGAAUCUGGCUGUGGGUCGGGACGAACCACUGGAAACGGUGGCUAAUACCGAUGAGCCGAAGGUAAGAUUAUUGCCACAGAUGAGCUCGCGUCUGAUUAGCUAGUUGGUAAGGUAAAAGCGUACCAAGGCGACGAUCAGUAGCUGGUCUGAGAGGAUGAGCAGCCACACUGGGACUGAGACACGGCCCAGACUCCUACGGGAGGCAGCAGUGGGGAAUUUUCCGCAAUGGGCGAAAGCCUGACGGAGCAAGACCGCGUGGGGA